rnacentral:rRNA from 1 species
UACGGGGGGGGCAAGCGUUGUUCGGAAUUACUGGGCGUAAAGGGCUCGUAGGUGGCCAACUAAGUCAGACGUGAAAUCCCCAGGCUCAACUUGGGAACUGCGUCUGAUACUGGAUGGCUUGAAUUCGGGAGAGGGAUGCAGAAUUCCAGGUGUAGCGGUGAAAUGCGUAGAUAUCUGGAGGAAUACCGGUGGCGAAGGCGGCAUCCUGGACCAUUUACUGACGCUGAGGCGCGAAAGCUAGGGGAGCAAACGGG